UGAGCCUGCUGCCUGGAGUUCUUUUGGGGGCAUAGGGGUCCCCAAAAGGGAGUUCUUGGGUUAUAAAUAUCUCUUCUCUGCAAAGGCUGCUUGCUCUCUCUCUCUCUCUCUCUCUCUCUCUCUCUCCCCCUCUCCCUCCCUCCCUCUCCCCUCUUUCCCCCUCUAUACUGAAACACCCCUGUGUCUAGGAGGGGCUUCUAGUGUAGCCAGAAGAGGCACAAUCUUGCAAGAAAAAGAAAAAAAAACUAUGUCUAGGACCCCAGCUUGUGGGACAGUGCUUCCCACAUUCAGGGUGGGUCUUUCCUCCUCCGUUUAACCUCACUGAAAACUUCACAGACACACCAUGCUUCCAUGGAGAUUCCAAAUCCAAUUAAGUUGACACUUAAGAUUAAGCCUCCUGGCUGCCUUCCACUCUUGUCUCCUGUGUCACAGCUGAGUGCAUCUAUGAUUUGAAUGAUGAUCACAUGAGCUACCGAGAGGACAGGCACGUGCAACAGGCACGUGCCACCAUUUUUCUAAGGAUGUUUGAAGACAGGCUGUGGAAUGUUGUCUCCCUAUUGUGGCAGCCAUUACCACCUUCAUCAGGGCAGCUGUGACUACUCUCAAGAGACCCUCAAGAUUUGACCUGCUGACCUUUUUCUCAUUGAAGGAGGGGCCGGGGAGGGUUAUUAAAC
rnacentral:lncRNA from 1 species